CACGCAUCGACCUGGUAUUGCAGUACU
rnacentral:piRNA from 2 species